ACACAUUUUAGAGCCUAAUUCAUCUUAAUUAAAAAUCAAAAUUACAUUCAAAUCCUAAUUCAAAAUUCUAAUAUUAAAACUUAUCCUAAAAUAAAUUUAUUGUAAUCCAUCACUCCUUCUAUAAGCUGCACCUUGAUCUGAUUUCAAAUAAAAUUAAAUAUCUAAAUUAUAUAUUUCAAAAAAUAAUUGACAACGAAGAUAUACAAGCAAAAUAAAAGUUCUUUUAAUCGUGAACUAUCGAUUACAGGACAGAUUCCCCUGAUUGGAAUAAAAAACCGCCAAAUUUUUUGAUUUUAAAGAACAUAACUAAUAUUCAUCUGGUUUAUAAUAUCUACGUGUAGAAUAAUGGGGUAUCUAAUCCCAGUUUAUUGUCUAAAUUUCUUAGCCUCUUAAUCAAAAAUAUAAUUAAAUAAAAAAUAGGAUUCCACCCAAUAUUUACUAAAGCAAAAAUUAAAUUUUAAUAACUAAAUAUAACCAAAUAAAAAAAAUUGUGUUAAUUGUGUAACCGCA
rnacentral:rRNA from 1 species